rnacentral:lncRNA from 1 species
CGUAUGCCGUGGAGUCUGUGUACAGAUUGCCUUGGCUCUGGGAGGAGACUUUGGGCUUUGGACUUUUCAAUCGUGUUAAGACUGAGAAAAAUGAAGGUGACUUUCCCAUUGUGCAUAUCAAAUGGCCAUGUUGGAUCUGAAUGAGAGACGCCCCCCCUAGGCUUAUGCAUUUGUGUACUCGAUCUUCGGUUGGUGGCUCUGUUUG